GCUUCCUUGGCACAGCCGGUAGUGCGUCAGUCUCAUACGCGGUAUGAUGCUGCUUUGUCAGCAACAAUCUGAAGGUCGCCAGUUCGAUCCUGGCAGGGAGCA